UCCUCCCCCUCCCUUCCCUGCCAGCCAGCCUGCCUGCAGCAGAUGGUUGGUUGGUUGGUCGGGGGCCCGUGCCGAGCCCGAGUCCCCUCCUCCCCCCCAGAUCGGUGGUACCCUCCCGGUCUGGCGUGUGUUGGUCGGGGGACUUGGUGACAAAACCGAUGGCGCAAUGCACCAACACCUUCAAAAUAUGACUGAGUAUGGAAAAAAACCGGGGGGGGGCACGCACGCGCGCCCCCCCCGAGUUGUGAAAAUAAACAAGAACAACUCUCAGCAACGGAUAUCUUGGCUCCUGCAACGAUGAAGAACGCAGCGAAAUGCGAUACGUAGUGUGAAUUGCAGAAUUCCGCGAAUCAUCGAGUCUUUGAACGCAAGUUGCGCCCGAGGCUUGCCCUGGGGCAUUUCUGUCAGAGCGUCACCGCGACACCCACCGACCCCCACUCCCUCUUGGAUGAAUGAGUGGGGGCCGAGUGAAAGUGGCCAUCCGAGCGUCUCCUCCUCCUCCUCCAAUGGUGGAGAGAGAGAGAGAGGCGCUGGGUUGGCUGAAAUGGAGGGAAUUCUGUGCCGCCGUGGCGACACGGCCCGCGAUCAGGUGAUCCAAGUCUCGUUUCUUGGAACUCAAUGCGUGUUGGCCGUGUUCCGUCCCCCCCACACUACAG
rnacentral:rRNA from 1 species